GUCAUCGUAUCGUAUACCUAAAAUGUACCAAUGAAUCUAAUGAAAAAAAAAAGAUUUACUUCACAAUCUGAAGGAACAUAGUUGAACAACCCUACAUACGAGUUAUUCAAUGACAUGAUUUUGAAAAUGCUGAGAUUCCAGAAGUUACUGUAACACACUACCAUUAUGAUUUUAUCUUUCAAGGGAUCAUCCAAGAAAUACUGUGAUAUUCCAGAUACCAUUGAUGUGUUGGUUGAAAUAUUUGAUUUUUGUUUCUUUCUUUUUUUUUUUUUAAGAUCUGCAGUUUCUGCGGUAUCUUCUAAUAGGAGAAAAUAAGAAAAACCCAACCAGACUGUCAACUCAUCUUUUCCAUCUCACAAGUGAACCCCCAAAUCCAGGGCUUAGGGGCUUUCUAGGGAGAGUGGAGUCUUUGGUUCUUGUAGAUUCUUGUUCAGUGACUGGCUCAACUUUGCUACUGGCUUAUUUUCCUGCAGAUAAGAGGUUGUAGCUAUGGGUGUUACUCUAUUUAUUGGUUUAAAAGACAUGGUGCAAAGGACAAGCAGGCAGGGUAUGCUCUGACUCAUGCAAGCUGCUCUCUGUUUGUGCCCUAUGUGCUCCUUUUCAGUGGAAAACACGGUCCACUAAGUCCAGCUCUGCACACCCUAGCACUUUUGAAUUCCUUCCACAUGACCAGAAGAACUUCAGCACCUCUCCUUUGUAACAGACCUGGUAGCACAGCACACCUUAGGAAUACCUGGUCAGGCUAUGUGAACUGAGUGGGCUGUGGUCACGUAGGUGAUCAUGUCAUUGGGAUCACAAAUUUAAGUAAAUAUCCUUGUGACACACGGUCAUCCUUACAGUAUGCUUGUUGAUAUUGGAGUGCUACCUGCUAUCCAGAACUAUUUCCAAGAAUGUUCUUGAACAUGCACCCCUGGGCCCUAGAAGAUGAAGUGAGGAGAGUAGUUUGGUAUCCCUGCCAAGUUUCCAGGAUAAUGGAAUUUUUUUUUUUUUUUACAGGAAGUGAUGUGUAUGUCACAGGGCUGGGAGGAUGGAGAUGGAAGAAGGCAGACUUAGCAAGUUGAAAAAAGCUCCCAAACCAAGGCCAAAUCCAAACAGACACAACGGAGAUUAGAGAGCUGCCCUAUUUUGUUUCACUGAGAAAUUUUUCAUCUUAUGUGUUUGUAUUCUUUGCUUUCUGCAUCCAGUCACCACCAAGACCAGCUAGGUCUAUCUCUUCGUAUUCUGUAGUCUGUCCUCCCUUUCUGCAUCCAGACAGUGAGUUCAGUCUCUUACCACCACUCACUGCAGUAGACCCCUCACUGCUCUCUUGCUUUCAGUCUUACACCCCACUUUUCACAAGAGGACCUUUGAUGUUUUCCAUUGUUUAACCACAGGAAGUUAUGGUUAUUGGAAAUGUUCCUAUCAGCUUUCAGGAUGGACCAGAAGACUCAGAAAUGGAUAGAAACUGGUGGGGUGGGGAGGGAUUUGUCUCGGAAUCAGGCAAUAGUAUCACCACUACUCAGCCCCCAAACAAAUCACAUAUCAUUUCUCAACCUCUCUAUCCUCCUUCUUCCCUUUGGGGUUUGCCCUCUGUUCCAACUUGGGCCAGGUAGCAGUUUGUUGAUGACUGGAGUGUUGAAAGUGCCUGUGUUUAACAUAUCACUAGACUUUCCAGUGGAAAUCAAGGUGGAAUGAAUGCUGAGUUGUCAAAAAUCCGCACUUACCCACCAAAUGUUGAUUAUAAAGAGGGACCUAUGUGCAGCAGACAGUACACUUUGUCUCAUUUGUUCCAGUCUCUUGUUAAUUUGCUCUCUUCCUCAAUAGACACUGAAGUCUCUGAAGGAAGAAUUUCCUGAUAACCUUAUUCAUCUUUGAGUUACAUAUUUGUCCAUUGAAGAUAUUACAAGAUACUGUCACACGCCAAGCAUUACGACAAGUGUCUUUGCAUAUGUUAUUUCAUAAUGAAAAUAAUGAAAGUCAAUUACUAACUUUUUACUAGUGAUAUAAGAUAUACCAACAUUUUUAAGAAUGUCACAGUGGGUUUAAGGGAGAAACAAACCCAUAUAUUCCGUACAACAGUAACAGAUUUAGAUUAUUUCCUAACUAGAACCUGCACAGGCAUGACAUUUAAUUGAAAGACAUUUCUUGUCUAGUGAGAAUUGUUCUUUAGUUCCACCCUGGGAUGCAUUUGGGUGAAAUCUGGGGUGCGUUAUGGGUUGUUAGUUUGUUUUCACCUGAGAGGUUACUUAUAUGGAAACAAGGGGCAGAAUAAACCCAGGAUGGGAGAGUUGGGAGGCUCCCAAAGGCACAGAUAACCAUGCUGCCUGAGGAAGGGGCCUCCCCAGUAACUUCUCUGUUCUCCUGGCACCCUUAUAUACUUUUUGUUUGCCUAAUCAAUGAAAAAAAUGAUUAUAUCAUGUAAUAAAAACUUCAGAGAGGUCAGUUGUGGAAAAAGAAAUGAAAGGAAUUCUUGUAUCUUUAUUUUCCCUUUCCAUUUAAAAUCAUCACCAACAAAAAUUCUGGGUACUGCAGCUGAAAUAGAAUUGAGGUUUCUCCCAAAUCAAAUUGAAAGUGUGCUAUCUCCAGGAAAACUGAGGCAGCUUAGCUGCUCAACAGGAGGGCGUGGUACCAGCCUCUGCCUCCUCCACCACCACUCCUUUCACUCAUUUUUCUCCUUCUUCAAGGUUCUAAGCUGCACACACAUCUCAGAUUGUUCCCAGGGAGAAAGAGCACACGCUGCUGCUUUCCUAUGGAAAUAACUGCUGUGCUGAAUUCACAGCUCAGGGCAUGGAGAAGGGAAAAGGUAGACCUGUGAGAUGUGAGCCAGACAGCAGUGGACGCACCUCCAUGCCUCCUUCUCACAGCACCAACUCCAUCUUCCCCUGCCAACGGGGAGCCACCAGGCCACAGCAGGCUAGGAAAGGAGAGACUUGAUUUUGGGGGGACUCACUUUCCUCCGUCCCUCCCCCUGUCCUUGACAAAGGGAGGCUGAGCACCUCCCUGAAGAGACCUAUCGGAUGCUCUUGACCUGGAAUUCAAUGUCCCGAGAAGUGACAGUAACAGAAUGGUUGGAAAUCAUUUACCCUGGUGGCUACGGAACUAAGGAAACUACAAAAUUAUUCCCCAAACCUGAAUUCCUAGCUUCUCUUGUAGUUUUAUAAAGUAGACUCUUCAGCUUCUCCUCCUGUUCUGAAAGCUACUCUAGAUCCUUCCACUGUGUCUGUUUGCUUAACAUAUUUGGAGUCAGCUUCUGUUACCCACAUCCCAGAGUUCUGACUAAAAUAGCUUCUCACAUGCUUCAGGCUCCAACAUGCUAGGCUAAAGGUCAAAGUUUGGGAGUGGGGGAAGGAGUCACUUAGAUCAAACAUUUACUAAGGCACUGAGCUCAGUUUUUCUCAAGCCAUUUGUCCCCAAAAUGUUGGUUUUAUGUUAUCCCUUACAGAGUGGUGGCCACACAAGCCAAUUUCCCUAGUUCUGCCAAUGCAACUCCAACGAACUCUGCAGAUUCUGGAACAGUGUCAGCAGUGGAGCUGACCUAGGUGGGAGGCUCUGAGACCGUACAUCAUCUGAUUUGGUCUAAUGGGAAGGACCGAGCGGCUAUGAUCCUGAUUUUAACAAGGAGAAAACUGAGGCUCAAACAUCUUGCUCAAGUGCACUCCGUUACCUUAAGUGUGACUAGAAGACAGGCCUUCCUCAGCCCUGCAGUGUCUUGAAAACUCACCAAGGACAGAAACUUUGUCUCUCAUGCUGUUGUUCCCACAGAAGACUACACAUAGCAGGUGGACAGUAGGGAUUGAACUCGGGUCCUUGCGCUUCCGCAGCAGGCAGUGAAACCACUGAGCUAGAUCCCCGGCCCUGUUCAAUAGUUUUUUGAGGCUGAACAUCUCCUACAUUCAGACCAGCAUUACGGAGCGGCUUCCUGAGACUUCAGCUUCCCGUCGUCCCCUGUUCUCUGUCAUCCUCUAGCUCCAAGUUUCAGCCUCCCCUCUUCACUCCAGUAAUCACCAAUGAAGAAGACUGUGUCAGCAUGAACUCAACAAGCAGCACGUUCUGUGUUCUCUAGCAGAAUACUUUUAUGACCUCAAACCACACCUUUCCAUUUUGUGAAUGACCAGAGUAAAGAUCAGCUCCAUGAUAUCCGGUGAUUGUUAGACCCAAACUUAUUAAAAUGAACUAAAAUGAGCUGGGCAUAGUGAUGCACAUGUGUGAUCCCAGCAUUCAGGAAGCUGAGGCAGGGAGAUAGUAAGUUCAAGGCUAGCCUGAAGUACACUACAAUUUUUUUUAAAAAGCCCCCCCCACAAACCCCAAAAGAAUGAAAAUUGAUGAUUAUCAGCAUGCUCUUGGACAGAAAAUCAUGUGAUCUUCUAUUGAUCUCCUCACUAGCCUCCUUCAUUGGAUAACAUAAUUAAAAGUACAGAGGUAGUAGUGGGAAAAGAAAUAAGAAAAUUCUCAACUUCAGAUAAUAUGUUUAAAUUUAUGACCUCAAAGAAAAUGUAAAUGUUCUUAUGUGUAUCCCAGUUUUGGCUGCAAGUAACAGAAAACCUAGUAGCCGCUUAAACCAUAGGAAUAAUGUUUAAUGAGGUAUCUAAAAAUGGUGCCAGUUCCACAUUUUGUUUUGUUUUGUUUUUCACUCAAGGUUAGAAUCUGUAACUGUGCCUUGAGAAUUCUGCUUGGCAUUUUCACAUACCCGUGUUUAAGACAGAGUCCUGAACAUCUUCUCAAGGCCCAGGAAACUUCCCCUUAUGUCUCCCAAGUCAGGGCCAAGGGACACAGCCAACCCGAGCUGGAAGAGAGGCAGGAAAGUGAGUGUCUGGCAAAGGGAAGUAGGAUUGUCCUACUUCCUUUGGCAAACUGUGUUUCAGUGCAUUCAGAAUUUUUAAAAAGGAAGUUUUGUUUUAUUACAGAAAGUUAACGCAUGAUUACUUAAGAACAUUUGGAAACAGAAGGAAAAGAUUCCUUAAUGCCACUUCCCAAAGACUUUACUCAAUGCCUUAUUUUAACACUGUUCUAAUCGUACUGCACAUAGAAGGAGGCAGCAUAAUUCAGGAGAGAGAGAGGAGAGAUGAUGCCCAAGAUGGCUCCAGAGUGGAGAGAUGGUGCCCGUGGCCUGUUAUCUAACACUAAUCUGUCACUGUACUUCCAUUUCCUCAAAAUAAAGAUGUGGUUCUUGGCUGGGGAUUUAGCUCAGUGGUUCCAGUGCCUGACUCACAAGCACAAGGUCCCGAGUUCGAUCCCCUUGGUUCUACAAUCUCAGGGCUGCAAGACGAUCACAGCUGUGCAUUUGAGACACAUAGAUCACGCUGUUCAGAUACUGACUGCCACGAAGACAAGCAGGCUGGGUAAACUAGAGAUUACCAGCAGAGGAAAUGGGAGCACAGUGUGUAAUAAUAUAACAUAUAUCAUCUGACGUGUCAGGUGUAUUUUUCACCAGAAGCCAGAAAUGUAGAUUUUCAUGUGAAGUUAUAUUAGAACCUAAUCUGAAAAGUAAAACAAUGAAACACUGCAGAAGCCAAACAAAACAUGCCUGUGGAGUGUCAGUUUGUAACUGCAGGAUGGGUAAAGGAUUUGAGGAGGGAAGUUAAGAAGAACUGCUUAAAAUACAUUUUGCUAUAUAACAAUGGGAUUAUUACAAUGAGUCUAAAACAUCUAGUGCUUACGUCAAUGGUGAAUAAACAUCGUUUGGGAUGUUAUCAUCUCUAGUUCCUACAUUGACAGUAUAAUUACUCCCCCCCCUGGUUCCGAAACACCCUUGGGACUCAGCUGAGCUUUGAUGUGCUUCCUGGAAUAAGUGUGCACUGUAUUGGAAACAACUUUGUCAGGACCUCCUAGGCCUCAAGUCCAUUUAUAUGUAUUUUUCAUGAUCACAUCUGGAUCCAUAUCAAAUCCUGUGUCUUUUGCCUGAAUCACUCAGUUUAAGCUGAAAAUAAAAACAAAAAUGAUGAAAGUCUUGGACAGGUGUUCCCUUGAGUGAGAAGGGCCAUCUCAAGCUGUUUACUCCCUUCCUCUCUGUUUUUAAACUCUCCUUUGCAGACAAAGAAUGAUCAACAUCACCAGAUGAGACUCUUGACUCUUGCUGAAAGCAGCGCAGAAAGGGGAUUUAACAACUUUGAACUUUUCGUGUGAUUUUUGCCUUGACACAGUUGUUAUUAGAGUUCUGAGGAAGCAACAGCCCCUGUGAGAACACCAGGUUUCUACAUGAUUAAUCUGCAGACCUUGAUAUUCUAUCCAGGUGUAGGAAUAAAUAGCACGGCCCCAGGGCUCUAUCCUGGGGCUUGGAAGGGCUUCAGUGAAAUUCUAUAGCAAAAGGCCUGGCCACUUUUCUGACUUUCUCUUUGUUCUACUAACUUUUUAUCUUUGCAAAGCAAAGGGAUUUCCUCAGGGGAUUAGGCAGAGGAAACCACCUGAGGUAGGGAUAGUGUUUCAUUAGAAUUAAGAGUUGCAAAAGUACCCUGAAGACAUCUCAACCAGAAGUUCCUUUCCCCAGCUUUGGAGGGCUCCCUGUGUGUGUCUGGCACCCAGUACCACAAAUCCCUGCCCCGCUGAGGUGUCUCAAACUCCUGUAUUCUCCUUUUUCCUCAACACAGAGAUAUCUCGGCAAAGAGGAGUAGCUUAAGUAAGGCACAAGGGUGUCUCAUUCCAAAGUGAAACUAUUUUUUUUUUCAAAACAUUUUACACAUAUUAUUUUGUUAACACGAUAAUUGUUUUAAAAUAAUUUGAAACUCAAUAGAUGCCUCUCUCAUUCUGCUUUGAUUUGGUUUUUUGAAUGGAUGAAGGGAUCAGAGCAGGAGACAGACAAUUCAUUUUGUCAGCCACAGAUCUGUGAUGCUACUGUACAAAGCUGGAGAUGAGAGCAGAGCUUCCCGUUCACAGAGGGCUCCUGGGUUUCCAAGAUGCUCAAAGUGCUGCUGUACAAAUGUGUCCUGCCUGCAGUUUUUAUUGUAAACCAGGCAUCUGCUGAAGGAUUUUAAGUGUAAUAUCAAGGAUAAGAAUUUGUGUCAUAGCAGCUACACUCAUGGCAGUUUCAUAUAUCCAUUUCUGGUUAACAGAAGACAAAAGUUUCUAUGUAGCAACUGCUCUAAAAAUUCCUGAAAGAAUAUACAUCAUAUUUCUAUUAGGUUUCUUUCUCAAAUUUCUACAUUUUGAUUUGUGGGUUUGGUAUUGGGGAUCGAACUCGGGUCCUUGUACUUGCAAGGCAGGUGGCGGAACCACUGAGCUAAAUCCCUGGCCCUGGCUAUAUAUUUUUUCUAAUCUUCAAAGAUAACCCAAAAAAUCAAUUUCUAAGCUAACUGUGGUUCAACUUACUUUUGAAGUGAAACAAUUUUUUUCUUUUCAUUAAUGAUUAGCAUUAACCUUUUCAAAGGACCAAUAUUUUUUCAUAUUUUCUAUUUUAGACUUGUUAUAUUUUCCUCUUGCUUAUUAUGAUCACUAUAUUUUUAGGGAGAAGCUUGCUUCAUACUUUGAUUGCUUUGGUGUAUCCCAUCUAAUUUAACAUAUUCUAUUUCUAUUUCUACUUAAAACUUCUCUAUUACAGGGCCAGGGAUUUAGCUCAGUGGCACCGCAGCUGCCUCACAAGCACAAGGUCCUGAGUCAGAUCCCCAGUACCACCAAAAACAGAAAAACAAAAAAACAAUUCUCUAUUACAUUUUCAGAUUCCUUCCUGGGUUAAAUAUUAUUUACAGGAGUUUCCUUUGUGGCUUAAAUAUUAUGCAUCUUUUUCACAUUUUCUGUUAUAAAGCAUUUUAUUUUGCUAUUUCUAAUUCUGUUAUUUGCUCUCUGGAUGUAAGGCAUACAGAAUUUUGACUAAAUCUAUCUUGUGAUCCAGAAUAUGGUCAAUCUUUGGUUAAGAUAUCCUUGGACCAAGAAAGAGUGAAUUAGCUUACACUGCCAUGAAGUUGUCUGCACAAAUAUUAAGCCUAAUUUUGUAUAACUUAACAUCAUGUGUAUCAGUUAAUUUUAUUUUUGAAAUAGAUAUUUCCACUUACGUACUGCAUUUCUGACAAUUUUUUUCUAUUCAAUAUCCUGCAUUAGAAGUUUGGAAUUUUUCAAUGAUCAAGUUAUUUCUUCUAUUGCCCUUACUGUAAAAUCUACUUUAUUAUGAAAAGAAUCUCAAAUCAGUCUUUAUUUUUAAUAGGAACACGAAUCUGAUCUGACCUGAAAGCAAUGUAACAGAUGCACUUUACAACAGUGGUUGUGCAUGUAUCCUGCCCCCUCCCUCCGUUGACCUCUCCUCCCUCUCGGCAAACGGUUGACCUAUUUUCCUAGUAGGCUGGGGCUGCAAUUGUGUUACCUGGAUAAGUCACAGUUAGGGCUUAUAGAGGACAACCUGGCAAUUACAUGGAGUUCCUGGAGUCACUGUACAUCCAUAAAUCCUCUGGUGCAUGAAGUCUAAGACCUCGUGACUUGCUAACAAAGUCUAAGCCAUCAGAGAAAAUGAAGCAUGUAGUGUAUUUGGUAUAAUUUCACUUAAAAAUCUGCUAUAGAACUGUUUUUAUUAUUAAAUUUGGUCAUUGGUUAAUCAUGAUUAUUUGUCCAUAAGUAUUCGAGUCUCUCUUUUCUCUUAGCAGCUAAAUAUUUCUAUCUAGAGACAGACGGCUUAUCUUCCACUCCUCUUAGAGACAGAAUUCAUCCUGGGAAUAAGAGUCCCCAAAUGUGUUCCACGUUUCAAUGAAAUGUUAGAUGAGGCUCUGAACUGUCUUGUUUUUAAAGAAAAGGCAGUAAGCAAAUAUUUGUUCUCCAAAUGGUCAAAGGCCAGGAGGGCCUGAGUUCUAGGCAAGUCUUUUUCUCUGUGACGCUUGCUUUGCAGUCCAGUCCCCUCCGCCACUUUCCGUGUCUGCUUAUCCUUUAUUUGAGAUAAUACUGGCAUCAGCCUUCUCCAGCUGAAUUUCUCAGGUGUUGCUUAAUGGCCAG